rnacentral:rRNA from 1 species
AAACUUUCAACAACGGAUCUCUUGGUUCUGGCAUCGAUGAAGAACGCAGCAAAAUGCGAUAAGUAAUGUGAAUUGCAGAAUUCAGUGAAUCAUCGAAUCUUUGAACGCAUCAUUGUGCCCGUCCAGUAUUCUGGCGGGUAUGCCUUGUUCGUAGCGUCAUU